rnacentral:tRNA from 4 species
AGGGGUGUAGUACAAUGGUAGUAUAACGGUCUCCAAAACCGCUGAUACGGGUUCAAUUCCUGUCACCCCUGCCA